rnacentral:rRNA from 1 species
GAUGAACGCUGGCGGCGUGCCUAAUACAUGCAAGUCGAGCGAACGGACGAGAAGCUUGCUUCUCUGAUGUUAGCGGCGGACGGGUGAGUAACACGUGGAUAACCUACCUAUAAGACUGGGAUAACUUCGGGAAACCGGCGCUAAUACCGGAUGAUAUUUUGAACCGCAGGGUUCAAAAGUGAAAGACGGUCUUGCUGUCACUUAUAGAUGGAUCCGCGCUGUAUUAGCUAGUUGGUAAGGUAACGGCUUACCAAGGCAACGAUGCAUAGCCGACCUGAGAGGGGGAUCGGCCACAUGGGAACUGAGCCACGGUCCAGACUCCUACGGGAGGCAGCAGUAGGGAAUCUUCCGCAAUGGGCGAAAGCCUGACGGAGCAACGCCGCGUGAGUGAUGAAGGUCUUCGGAUCGUAAAACUCUGUUAUUAGGGAAGAACAUAUGUGUAAGUAACUGUGCACAUCUUGACGGUACCUAAUCAGAAAGCCACGGCUAACUACGUG